rnacentral:rRNA from 1 species
GGCGGCGUGCCUAACACAUGCAAGUCGAACGGAGAUUACAGACGGAAGUUUUCGGAUGGAAGACUGUAAUUCUUAGUGGCGGACGGGUGAGUAACGCGUGGGCAACCUGCCCUAUACAGGGGGAUAGCAGCUGGAAACGGCUGGUAAGACCGCAUAAGUCGGUUAAAUCGCAUGAUUUGACCGGGAAAUGAGCAAUCAGGUAUAGGAUGGGCCCGCGUCCGAUUAGCCAGUUGGCAGGGUAAAAGCCUACCAAAGCAACGAUCGGUAGCCGGACUGAGAGGUCGGACGGCCACAUUGGGACUGAGACACGGCCCAAACUCCUACGGGAGGCAGCAGUGGGGGAUAUUGCACAAUGGAGGAAACUCUGAUGCAGCGACGCCGCGUGAGUGAAGAAGUAUUUCGGUAUGUAAAGCUCUAUCAGCAGGGAAGAUGAUGACGUACCUGACUAAGAGCCCCG